rnacentral:rRNA from 1 species
ACGUCGCAUGCUUCCGGCCGCCAAUGCGGCCGCGGGAAUUCGAUUAGAGUUUGAUCAUGGCUCAGAACGAACGCUUUCGGUAUGCUUAACACAUGCAAGUCGAACGGAUUUAUUUAGAGCUUGCUUUAAAUAAAUUAGUGGCAGACGGGUGAGUAACACGUGGGAAUCUGCCCAUCAGUACGGAAUAACAUUUAGAAAUAAUUGCUAAUACCGUAUAUUCUCUUUGGAGGAAAGAUUUAUCGCUGAUGGAUGAGCCCGCGCCAGAUUAGGUAGUUGGUAGGGUAAUGGCCUACCAAGCCAAUGAUCUGUAGCUGGUUUGAGAGAAUGAUCAGCCACACUGGGACUGAGACACGGCCCAGACUCCUACGGGAGGCAGCAGUGGGGAAUAUUGGACAAUGGGCGAAAGCCUGAUCCAGCAAUGCCGCGUGAGUGAUGAAGGCCUUAGGGUUGUAAAGCUCUUUUACCCGGGAUGAUAAUGACAGUACCGGGAGAAUAAGCUCCGGCUAACUCCGUGCCAGCAGCCGCGGUAAUACGAAUCACUAGUGAAUUCGCGGCCGCCUGCAGGUCGACCAUAUGGGAGAGCUCCCAACGCG